rnacentral:tRNA from 1 species
CGCCGGGCAGCAUGCCGCGGAGGGUGCCGCGCGCGGGCAGCCCGCAGGCCUCGGGGAGGGUCUGGUAGCGGCCCGGUUCGGCGGCCGGGCUCGACGA